UAAAAUAUAAAACAAGAUCAAGCAUUGAUAAAAUCCAUCACCAUCGUAUUAUUCGUAUAAACAUUAAACAGGAUCGAACAUUCGUAUGAUUUUCUUUUCACGCAAAUAAUAUGUAAAAACAAGAUCAACAAAUAAAUACCAGAGAAGAGAUUUCCAGCAAGGCAGCAACAACCGUGAAGAAGAGAUUCCCGGAGAAGAUUAGGGAUUUGGUCGGGGAGAAGAUUUGUGAAAACUGAAAACUGAACUUGGAUCGUGGGGGGAUAAUGUUAGAACGACGUGUAGCCCUUGGAGGAGAAUUGGCUGGAGUUAGGCCAGCAGCAGCUCCGGUGAUCGCCGGUAGAACCAUUGAGAGAAGGAGUAAUGUCCCAAGUAGCCGUUGGGAGAUCAACUGAUUUAAACCAACUAAACCGGUCCUCUGAACCGGGUUUAAUUCGAAUAUAUUUUGUAUUAAAUUGAAUGAAUAGAGUUUACAAUAAUGAUAUACUUAUACAGAAUUACACUGACUGAUUAACUACUAAUUAACUAAUCAAUGUAAAUAAUCUGUUAUAAUCUUUAUUGAAACUUUUGCAACAACAACCCCAAACUUCUUUGAAUCACGAAUCGUGUUUAUUGAAACUUUUGCGUUUGUAACCUCGAGCUUUCCUUUAAUUACUUCGACACAUGUUUAUUGAAACUUUUGCACUCGUAACCUCGAGCUUUCCUUUAAUUACUUCGGCACAUGUUUAUUGAAACUUUUGCACUCGUAACCUCGAACUUUCCUUUAAUUACCAACUCACAUGUUUAUUGAAACUUUUGCAUAUGUAUUCUUAAGUUUCUUAUUUAUUUGGGUUAAUUGCCUGCACAUCAUUCUGUUAUUCAUAAUAUCACAUAUAUCCUGGAUAUUGGAUUAGUUUUAAUUAAGCUCUGGAUUUACAGAGUUAACUUGUUUAUUAAUUGUUUAAUUAAUCUGUUUAUUACAGAGUUAAUUCCUUUAGAUAAGGGGGAGAAGAUUUGUGAAAGUGGGGGGAAGAAUAUUGUGAAAUUUAUAUUAACCCUUAAAAAAUAUUAAUAAAAUUACAUUUACCCCUUAUUAAAAAAUUAUUACAUAUAGGCUCUUAUUUUUUACCAACUUUCCGGGGGCAAUUGCCCUCUGACCCUCUCUUCCCCCGGCUACGCCACUUUGAGGAGGAGACGGCGGCGGAUCAUCGAAGUGAACUAGCGAAGGUAGAUUGAUAGUGAUGUUCGCAAGUCGCACCAGCAGCUGUGCAUAUCAUUUCUUUUGUUUACUCAAUUGCCGUGUUGGGAAUUUUACAGAUGAUCUGAGUCGGAAAGUCGGUGGAUGAAGUAUCGACUAACAGUAGUUGAUAAUUUAAUAUCGGAUUCAUUAGAGAUUAAUUUAGGGCCAAGCUUUUCCAGCUUGUGCUCAAAGUCAGAACCCAAUCCAAUUUUGGGACAGCCUCGAGACCGUUUGAGC
rnacentral:lncRNA from 1 species